rnacentral:misc_RNA from 1 species
UGAAAGGCGAAACGUAAUGUGAAUCGCAACUAACAGUGAAUCAUCGAAUCUUUGAACGCAGACCGCACUCCUGGCAUGCCUCAUGGGCAAUGCCGGAGAGUAUCUACGUAUGAGUGUCAGCCAAAUAUGUUUUCGGUUUACGGUGGAUGUAGGGCUGCGGUCCUACUCAAGCUGUGAAUACACGUUUGUCUUGUGACAGUAUCACGUGAAAAUCGGUCUGUCUGGCCUCAUAUGUGGAAGGUUACCCGCUGGAUUUAA